UUAUACACAAGCAUUCAUCCACAUCCACAUUCAUUUUUAUUCCCAUUUCCUGUCUAUAAUUUUCUCAAACAAGAAAAUGAACUUUGAUAUGUUAUAUUCUCCUUCUUAGUAAGUGCACUACACGCUGUGAUCAACCGCCCUACAAAAAACAAAAAACAAAAACAAAAAAGUACAACAGUGCAGUGCGGGCGCGAUGGACUGCAUGGUUGCGGCGUCAGCUGCCCCUCAUGAGAGCACCUCUUGUGUACCUCUCGUGAACUGCAAACGACAGCAUAACCAACGAUAGACCAUGAAGCUUUGCCACGCUAUGGAGGAUGUAGUCCGCCUGCUGCCUUGCUAUAGCACACAUUCGGAAGUUGAUUGAGAUCACUAUUAAUUUUGGGAUACCACAGUCAUACAUACGUGGAGAUGGCAAAGUUAGAAAUAUCAGUCUAACCAAGUUUCAAGUGGCAAGAUUAAUUUWAAUUUCUGAAAGAAACUUGAAGGUGACUUCUCUGAACUCUUGUUGAUCAUCUACAUCCAUAUACCAGGG
rnacentral:lncRNA from 1 species